rnacentral:rRNA from 1 species
GACGAACGCUGGCGGCGUGCUUAACACAUGCAAGUCGAACGGAAAGGCCCUGCUUUUGUGGGGUGCUCGAGUGGCGAACGGGUGAGUAACACGUGAGUAACCUGCCCUUGACUUUGGGAUAACUUCAGGAAACUGGGGCUAAUACCGGAUAGGAGCUCCUCCUGCAUGGGGGGGGUUGGAAAGGUUCGGCGGUUGGGGAUGGACGCGCGGCUUAUCAGCUUGUUGGUGGGGUAGUGGCUUACCAAGGCUUUGACGGGUAGCCGGCCUGGGAGGGUGACCGGCCACAUUGGGACUGAGAUACGGCCCGGACUCCUACGGGAGGCAGCAGUGGGGAUUAUUGCACAAUGGGCGGAAGCCUGAUGCAGCAACGCCGCGUGCGGGAUGACGGCCUUCGGGUUGUAACCCGCUUUCGCCUGUGACGAAGCGUGAGUGACGGUAAUGGGUAAAGAAGCACCGGCUAACUACGUG